GGGGGUGACCGGCUUUGACGGUCUGCUCUUUGACACACGUGCGACGCGGUGGAAGUUUGUUGACCACCUUAAUCUCGCAAACAACCAAACUUGCCAAGAACACUCUUGCAAGCGUGAAGUCACCAUUUACUAUGGCUGACUUCCCGUUCGCUUACGCGCGCGCUUAACUGCGUCUUCGCCUAAGCGACAUCUGACUGGCUCAGUUCUCGUAGUGUCCAGUUCAGGUGGAAUCAUCUAUGAGAUCGGUGCGCGUCCUCCCGAGCGCGUUUCCUAAAUAAGGGAUCAGGUAGGAGUGGUUUCGUUCUGAUUCCUCGCACCCUACCCUAGUACGUAAUCAGAACUAUGCGUCGUAGAUUCGUUGUUUAAGACAGAUUCGGACGGGAGUUCAACUCUCCCCACCUCCACAG
rnacentral:tmRNA from 1 species